UAAGACGAACCGUGCAAACGUUAUUCGGAAUCACUGGGCUUAAAGGGCGCGUAGGCGGGCAACCAAGUCCGGGGUGAAAUCCUCCAGCUCAACUGGAGAAGUGCCUCGGAUACUGGCUGCCUCGAGGAGGGUAGGGGCAUCUGGAACUAGCGGUGGAGCGGUGAAAUGCGUUGAUAUCGCUAGGAACUCCGGUGGCGAAGGCGAGGUGCUGGACCCUUUCUGACGCUGAGGCGCGAAAGCCAGGGGAGCGAACGGGAUUAGAUACCCCGGUAGUCCUGGCCCUAAACGAUGAGAACUAGAUAGCGGACUUGAUAUGAGUGCGCUGUCGGAGCAAAAGUGCUAAGUUCUCCGCCUGGGGAGUAUGGUCGCAAGGCUG
rnacentral:rRNA from 1 species